ACCUGGGUGGCUUAGUCGGUUAAGCGUCCGGCUUCGACCCAGGUCAUGAUCUCAUGGUUCGUGGGUUCAAGCCCCGCAUCAGGCU
rnacentral:tRNA from 1 species